GGCCGGCCUCUGGGACUCCUUGUGUUCGGCCGUCGUGUUUCUUGUCGCGUCCCCGUCGCACUCCCGUCUUUGAGGAAGGCUUGGGAUCGCGCGGGGCGUGGGGACUCUGGUUGCUGCCCGGCGCCACCCCGAGGCUAGGUGCCUCGGAGGGCCGCUCAGCACACCCCACACUUCAGAGGCCGAAUGAAGGUUUAGGAGUCACUGGAACAUUGACUGCAUGAGGGAACAGUACAGUUAAACCUUGCAUCUGACGCCCUUGCAUCCAACAGGAGUGAUGGUGAUCCCAGGUUUGCAAGGAAAGGGAAAUGAUUCCAGGAGGAGGUUCCCCACCACCAAGCAAUGGCCUAGAUUGAAAUGUAUGCCUGUGUUUGUCUGUCAGACUAAAUCAAGGGAACUGUCUGAACCAGACACAAACGCCAGUCGUUCUGACGGUCAAGGUGUGUCACAGCAAGACAGUGCAAAAGUCCCUCCAUCUUGUACUCUUGCUGAGGCGGUUCCAGGUUUAACUAGAAUCUGAUCUUGAUGAAGAGUCCCGUGGGUAAUUACCCAACUGUAUUCAAGGAGCCCAAAGGUCAGCUAACUUAUCUUAGCUAAAAGAUCUUGCUUUCUGGGAAGCCCUCGUACAGCUGCAAAGCAAAGUACCCGGGUGUGAUUUCUUGCCUUUAAAAAACUGUUGAUCUGGACAGUUGGAACCACACCUCCUAGGUCUCUGAAUACCUACCUGGGUGUGGUCCCAGCCAGCUGGAAUAGACUUUCAAUUGAUUAUAAACUGUGUGACUAGUCAUCUCUAUAGGGUUACCUGGAACAAAGUAGGAAUUAUAAAGUAUCAACCCAACCCCUAAAACUUAACAUACUUAAGAUACAUUGGUCAAUGUUGAAAAGAUGCCUGGAGAUGCAGAAUCAGUAUGAAAGUAUGUUUUUAUUAUCUGGGCGUUUCUCAUUGUUGUUCUGAGGCAAGGCCUCUGUGGCCUUGGAUCACCUGGAAUUUACUAUGUGGACCAGCUAGACUCAAACUCAUAUAGAUCUACCUGCCUCUAUCUUCUCAGUGCUAGGAUUGAAGGCAUAGGCCACCAUACGCGGCUUUGUUUUUUCUUUUAAAUACUGAUUUUUCUAUCCUGCAAUUUUGCUUUAAUUAAAGAGUUUCCUAGUAGAUUCCAUAAAGGUCUUUUUAGAAAAAAGUAUUUUUAUUUUGUGUAUGAAUGUUUUGCCUGCAUGCAUGUAUGUGUUCCAUGUGUGUGCCUGCUGCCUGCAGAGGCUAGAAGAGGGUGUUGGAGCCCCUGGAACUGGAGUUACAAGAUAUUGGGAACAGCCAUAUGGGUACUGGGUUCAGACCUGGGUCCACUGGAAGAGAAGCCAGUACUCUUAACUUUGAGGGCAUCUCUCAAACGCCUCUAUAAUGUCUUAUAAGUAUAGAAACACAUCAUUUGCAAGUAGGAAUAGUUCGAUUCUUUUCCUGUUUCCUUUUUUAUCACUUACUUUGGUCUUAUUUCCAUAGCUAAGACUUCAAAGAGUAUCCUGAAAAACUAAGGAGGAUGGGCAGCCCUGUCUCAUUCCUGAAUUGAGAACAGAUGCUCUCUCCACUUGAUUUUUGGCUAUAGGUCUGUUGUAAUAGAGCCUCUAUUAGUUUGAAGCAUGAGCCAAUCUAUCCUAACACCUCCAGCACUUUGACCACAAAGCCAUGUUGAACUGUGUCAAAAAGACCUUUCAUCAGUGAGAUUAUGUACGUGGUUUCUGUUUUUAAGUUUGUUUAUAUAGUGUAUUGCAUUUAUUCAUUUACCUGUGUUGAGUCAAACUUGCCUCUCCAUAAAACACCCUAGUUGGUCAUAAUAUUUGAUCUUCUUAAAUGUAUUUCUAAAUUCAGUUUGCAAGUAUUUUGUUGAGUCUUUGUGUCUAUGUUCAUUAAAGAGAAGAUGUCUGU
rnacentral:lncRNA from 1 species